UACGUAGGGGGCUAGCGUUGUCCGGAAUCAUUGGGCGUAAAGCGCGUGUAGGCGGUUCGGUAAGUCCGCUGUGAAAGUCGGGGGCUCAACCCUCGAAUGCCGGUGGAUACUGUCGGACUAGAGUACGGAAGAGGCGAGUGGAAUUCCUGGUGUAGCGGUGAAAUGCGCAGAUAUCAGGAGGAACACCGAUGGCGAAGGCAGGUCUCUGGGCCAUAACUGACGCUGAGAAGCGAAAGCAUGGGGAGCGAACAGGA
rnacentral:rRNA from 1 species